UACGAAGGGGGCUAGCGUUGUUCGGAAUCACUGGGCGUAAAGGGCGCGUAGGCGGCCGAUCAAGUCGGGGGUGAAAGCCUGUGGCUCAACCACAGAAUUGCCUUCGAUACUGUUUGGCUUGAGACCGGAAGAGGUAAGUGGAACUGCGAGUGUAGAGGUGAAAUUCGUAGAUAUUCGCAAGAACACCAGUGGCGAAGGCGGCUUACUGGUCCGGUUCUGACGCUGAGGCGCGAAAAGCGUGGGGAGCAAACAGG
rnacentral:rRNA from 1 species